CCGCAGGGCACUCCCCAGGAGCAGAGCAUUAAAAUGUUACGUCUCCCGGCUGGUGUGGCUCGGUGGUGUUUGUUAUGGCAGCUGCCCUGACGACUACACCUCCUUUACAGCUCUGGCAGGCAGAGUUCUAAGAGAGCCGUGGCCUGCACC